UAGAACCUGAUAUGGUUGUGUGGAUGGGUUUGCUUGGUGCUUGUAGGUCACAUAAGAAUAUGAGGCUAGGAGAAUUUGUGACAAGAGUCCUUCUUGAGUUGGAUCCUGGAAACGCUGCACAUUAUGUUCUUCUGUCCAACAUAUAUGCAGACGCUGGCAUGUGGGGUAAUGUUCAAAAGGUAAGGGUAUUGAUGAAAGAUAGAGGAAUUAAAAAGAUACCUGGGUGUAGUUGGAUUGAAGUCCAUAAAACAAUACAUAGUUUUUGUGUAUGAGAGCGCAUCAAAAAACACAUGAGAUCUAUAUAAAAAGUUGUAAUAUCAUCUUGGGAGAUGAAGGUAUCAGGGUCUAUUCCAAAUACAAGAUUUGUAUUGCAAGAUGUGGAGGAGAAGGAAUUGCUUCUCAGAAACCAUAGUGAGAAGUUGACAAUUGCACUUGGAUUGUGUCUCGUGGAACAAUUAUUAGCUUGUCAAGAAUCUUCAAGCAUGGGGUAACUUACACACUGCAACCAAGUUUAUCUCACAAGAUUAUUACAAGAGAAAUUGCUGUCAUCGAUGUGGAACUUUUCCAUCAUUUCACAAACUGAAAUUGUUCUGAGGAGAUUGCUAGGGAUGCUAAGUGAAGCCAGCUGUAAGCAUGGUCUUGCACUAUUACAAGGUUUUAAUGCAGCCAGGGAAAGCUUUAACAGUGUCUCUGUCUGGGUUUAGGCUUCCAGGACUUCCUUAGGAAUACUGCGAUGAAGAGAUCAUAUGAGGAAAUGCCAACUCUCUUGGUCAGUUUUUAUCAAUUGAUGAAGUCAUGAAAUCUAUGAAACAAUCGAUUUUUGUCAGAUUUUGCAUAAGUGUUGAUAUUGAUAAGGUGCUGCCAAAUGCCAUAAAAUUGUGUCCCAAACUUGUGGUUUGGGAACAGAGAAUUCAUUAGGAGUCUUCACAGAUUGUUGAAGGUGUUUCAAAGAUCAAAUAAGCACCCUGCUAUGAGGAUAGAAGGGAGGGAUUUAGGCACCACUGUGGUCCUUAGGGAAUACGUGAGGGUUUCCCGUUAGGGACACAGGUAAAGCUUUGUCUCCGCUUCAAAGUUCAUUGAGCUCUAGACUAUAUAUCUGGGAAGAGGCAGAAGUACAGGAAAUAUGAAAGCAGAAAGCAGAAAGCUGUUAAGUCAAAAGGAAAUAUUAGAGAAGGGCCUCCAAUGAAGCCAAUGCUUAGAUAUGAUGAGCAGAGCAACAGCAUCUCUAGUUGAUUUUAUAUGUCACGUUGUAUGGCACAUUUCUGGAUUAAUUCUAAUAUCUUGUGCCUCUCUCUGGAAUGAAGUUGUCUUAAAUUAUAUGCUCCAAAAUACACAUGCAAAUUUAAAUUUGUCCUGGUGGAUUUCUGUCGGUUAUGAUUGUGGAAUACCGAGGACAUUUGAUUGGUUUAACUUCUAAAGACCGGUGUUCAAAUGUGGUUAUUUUAUUUCCUUAGUGAAGAAUAUAUAUAUAUAUAUAUAGAUGAGAAGUAGACUUACAUUUUU